GUGGGGAAUCUUAGACAAUGGGGGAAACCCUGAUCUAGCCAUGCCGCGUGAGCGAUGAAGGCCUUAGGGUUGUAAAGCUCUUUCAGCUGGGAAGAUAAUGACGGUACCAGCAGAAGAAGCCCCGGCUAACUCCGUGCCAGCAGCCGCGGUAAUACGGAGGGGGCUAGCGUUGUUCGGAAUUACUGGGCGUAAAGCGCGCGUAGGCGGACUGGAAAGUCAGGGGUGAAAUCCCGGGGCUCAACCCCGGAACUGCCUUUGAAACUCCCAGUCUUGAGUUCGAGAGAGGUGAGUGGAAUUCCGAGUGUAGAGGUGAAAUUCGUAGAUAUUCGGAGGAACACCAGUGGCGAAGGCGGCUCACUGGCUCGAUACUGACGCUGAGGUGCGAAAGCGUGGGGAGCAAACAGGAUUAGAAACCCUAGUAUCC
rnacentral:rRNA from 1 species